rnacentral:rRNA from 1 species
CCUACGGGUGGCAGCAGUGAGGAAUAUUGGUCAAUGGACGAGAGUCUGAACCAGCCAAGUAGCGUGAAGGAUGACUGCCCUAUGGGUUGUAAACUUCUUUUAUAAAGGAAUAAAACGAGGCACGUGUGCCUUUUUGCAUGUACUUUAUGAAUAAGGAUCGGCUAACUCCGUGACAGCAGCCGCGGUAAUACGGAGGAUCCGAGCGUUAUCCGGAUUUAUUGGGUUUAAAGGGAGCGUAGAUGGGUUGUUAAGUCAGUUGUGAAAGUUUGCGGCUCAACCGUAAAAUUGCAAUUGAUACUGGCAGUCUGGAGUACAGUUGAGGUAGGCGGAAUUCGUGGUGUAGCGGUGAAAUGCUUAGAUAGCACGAAGAACCCCGAUUGCGAAGGCAGCUUACUAAACUGUGACUGACAUUGAUGCUCGAAAGUGUGGGUAUCAAACAGGAUUAGAUACCCGGGUAGUC